AACGAACGCUGGCGGCGUGCCUAACACAUGCAAGUCGAACGGGAAAGCCCGCAAGGGUGAGUACAGUGGCGCACGGGUGCGUAACACGUGGGUAAUCUGCCCAGAAGCCCGGAAUAACUCCCCGAAAGGGGUGCUAAUGCCGGAUGAGACCACGGGGACUUCGGUUCCUGGGGGAAAAGGUGGCCUCUGUAUACAAGCUAUCACUUCUGGAUGAGCCCGCGGCCCAUCAGCUAGUUGGCGGGGUAAUGGCCCACCAAGGCUACGACGGGUAGCUGGUCUGAGAGGACGAUCAGCCACACUGGAACUGAGACACGGUCCAGACUCCUACGGGAGGCAGCAGUGGGGAAUCUUGCGCAAUGGGCGAAAGCCUGACGCAGCAACGCCGCGUGUGUGAUGAAGGUCUUCGGAUCGUAAAGCACUGUCGGGAGGGACGAAUAAGGGCCGGGUGAACAAACCGGUUCGACGACGGUACCUCCAGAGGAAGCACCGGCUAACUCUGUGCCAGCAGCCGCCGUAAAAC
rnacentral:rRNA from 1 species